UACGUAGGCAGCAAGCGUUGUUCGGAGUUACUGGGCGUAAAGGGUGCGUAGGUGGCUCUAUAAGUAUGGUGUGAAAUCUCCCGGCUCAACUGGGGGGGUGCGCCGAAUACUGAGAGGCUAGAGUGUGGGAGAGGAAAGUGGAAUUCCUGGUGUAGCGGUGAAAUGCGUAGAUAUCAGGAGGAACACCGGUGGUGUAAACGGCUUUCUGGACCAUAACUGACGCUGAGGCACGAAAGCGUGGGUAGCAAACAGG
rnacentral:rRNA from 1 species